rnacentral:rRNA from 1 species
GGAGGGGGGCUAGCGUUGUUCGGAAUUACUGGGCGUAAAGCGCGCGUAGGCGGACUUUCAAGUCAGGGGUGAAAUCCCGAGGGCUCAACCUCGGAACUGCCUUUGAUACUGCAAGUCUUGAGUCCGAGAGAGGUGAGUGGAAUUCCUAGUGUAGAGGUGAAAUUCGUAGAUAUUAGGAAGAACACCAGUGGCGAAGGCGGCUCACUGGCUCGGUACUGACGCUGAGGCGCGAAAGCGUGGGGAGCAAACAGGAUUAGAUACCCUGGUAGUCCACGCCGUAAACUAUGGGUGCUAGCCGUCGGGGAGCUUGCUCUUCGGUGGCGCAGCUAACGCAUUAAGCACCCCGCCUGGGGAGUACGGUCGCAAGAUUA